rnacentral:rRNA from 1 species
GGCUCAGGAUGAACGCUAGCGGGAGGCUUAACACAUGCAAGUCGAGGGGUAGAGGGAGUAGCAAUACGAUCUUGAGACCGGCGCACGGGUGAGUAACGCGUAUGCAACCUGCCCUUUACAGGGGGAUAGCCCGGAGAAAUCCGGAUUAAUACCCCAUAGGCCUGUAACCUCGCAUGGGGAAUCAGGUAAAGCUUCGGUGGUAAAGGAUGGGCAUGCGUGACAUUAGCUUGUUGGCGGGGUAACGGCCCACCAAGGCUGCGAUGUCUAGGGGUUCUGAGAGGAAGGUCCCCCACACUGGUACUGAGACACGGACCAGACUCCUACGGGAGGCAGCAGUGAGGAAUAUUGGUCAAUGGGCGAGAGCCUGAACCAGCCAUCCCGCGUGCAGGAAGAAGGCCCUAUGGGUUGUAAACUGCUUUUGUGCAAGAAGAAAAGUAUCCUCGUGCAGGGUAUUUGACGGUAUUGCGUGAAUAAGCACCGGCUAACUCCGUGCCAGCAGCCGCGGUAAUACGGAGGGUGCAAGCGUUAUCCGGAUUUAUUGGGUUUAAAGGGUGCGUAGGCGGUAUAUUAAGUCAGUGGUGAAAUCCUGCAGCUUAACUGUAGCAUUGCCAUUGAAACUGAUGUACUUGAGUUAUCUUGAGGUAGGCGGAAUGUGUAGUGUAGCGGUGAAAUGCUUAGAUAUUACACAGAACACCGAUUGCGAAGGCAGCUUACUAAGGGUACACUGACGCUGAGGCACGAAAGCGUGGGGAUCGAACAGGAUUAGAUACCCUGGUAGUCCACGCCGUAAACGAUGAUGACUCGCUGUUGGCGAUAUACCGUUCAGCGGCUUAGUGAAAGCGUUAAGUCAUCCACCUGGGGAGUACGCUCGCAAGAGUGAAACU